CUCACAUAAGCUUAAAUUUGGUUGGGUUUGAAUUAGCAAGAACAGGCAAAAAUCAAGAUAUUGAAUGUUAGUUCCGUGAGGGAACUAAAAACAGCUGUUGGCAAAAGCAGACUUUACAUCGUGCCACGAGCCACUGUCUUGCAGGAAACCUCACCACCCUCAGCCAUGUCCCAGAAUCCAUUCCCACCACUCUCUGGAGCUCCAGCAGCAGAUGAGACCUCACAGGUGGCAUCCACAUCCUCUGCCAUAUCCAUGGAUUCAUUCCCACCACUCUCAAUUGCUCCAGUACAAUAUGAGACCGCCC
ensembl:lncRNA